UGGGGAAUAUUGCGCAAUGGGGGCAACCCUGACGCAGCAACGCCGCGUGAUCGAUGAAGGUUUUCGGAUUGUAAAGAUCUUUUGUCUGGGAAGAAUUCUUGACGGUACCAGACGAAUAAGCUCCGGCUAACUACGUGCCAGCAGCCGCGGUAAUACGUAGGGAGCAAGCGUUAUCCGGAUUUACUGGGUGUAAAGGGUGAGUAGGCGGAUCAGCAAGUCAGAUGUGAAAUACCGGGGCUCAACUCCGGGGCUGCAUUUGAAACUGUUGACCUUGAGUGAUGGAGAGGCAGGCGGAAUUCCUAGUGUAGCGGUGAAAUGCGUAGAUAUUAGGAGGGACACCAGUGGCGAAGGCGGCCUGCUGGACACUAACUGACGCUGAGGCACGAAAGCGUGGGGAGCAAACAGGAUUAGAUACCC
rnacentral:rRNA from 1 species